rnacentral:lncRNA from 1 species
AAUUAUAAAACAUUCUCCGUAUUAGGGUUUUCUCUGUAAACGCUAUAUAUACAGUAGUAAGCCUACCUUGAAAUAAACGCCAAUCCACCAAUGCCGCCCCACUACACUUCUACUGCCGUCUCUUCUCUUUUGCUACGCCUGAGCAACCUAUCUGCUAAGUUUGCUCGUCUUCAGAUUUUGAUUGUUGUUGGUAACUAGUUUUCCUCUUGUUCUUUAUUUAGUUUUUCUGUAUUCCCCCUAAUUUUAUAUUUUUCGAAUAAUAUUAGGUGACUAGAUGAAUAGAGUUUAUGAAAAUCAGCUCGUAUAGUUGAUUUCUAUCUUUAGAUAAAAUAUAUGCAAACUGAAUUAUAUUUGUGACAAUAAUGUAAAAAAAUGGCUUCACAAAAGAGUCAGCAGCAAGUACCAGUUAAUGGUAACCCGUCUGCCGCAUGAAGCCUAAAUAAACCAAUUUCCAAAAUGAAGACCCAUGAGAAUCAUUGUUUUCUCAUGACACAAUAUUUUUUGGUAUAUACUAAAUAUAUAUUCACAAUUUCUAUAUAAUUUUGGUUGUUGGAGGAGAGGCAGGCAUUUCUCAGACAACGGGGGUUUAUUUAAUUCUAUAAAAAACUACCUUUUGCACGGUGCCUAUAAAAUGCUGCUUAUCACGAUUGAAGGGUGUUCUGCUUUUGGCUAAGCAUUCCUUCAAAUUAAUUGUAGCCAAAUUAUUUAAUUUUCCUCUAUUUAUUUGGCGAUGAUGAGUUGCUAACACGUAAGAAGAUCUAAUUUAAGCUUGGAUCAGCUUGGAUCUUCAAUGAAAUUCACUUGUUACGCUUGGCUUCUGAGCUUUAUGGAUUAAAUUGUAAUUUUUUUAAAGUAUAAGUUACAAAACCUGAUGAUAAAAGCAGGGAUCAAUUGCCUUAUUUGUGAAUUGGUCUCUCUAUUAAAAUUGUUAUUUUUUAAAAAUCCGAGUUACAAAACCUGAUGAUAAAAGCAGGGAUCAAUUGCCUUGAUUUGUGAAUUGGUCUCUCGUAAACGUCAGGGAAAUAAUAAUUGCAUUGUUAUUGGGUGAACCACUUGACCCCUCAUGAUGGAAUGGUUCAGUAAACGAUGAUACAUAUUUUUCUGUUAGAAACAUUUGCAUUGAGUAAUAAUUUUAGGAUGACAGAACCCUCGGUGGCAAUUGAUCUGAGUUUUGGGAUUUGCUUCAUUGCAAGGUCUCAAGUUCAAAACCACAGGGUGCAAAUAAUUUGUAAGGGCCAUCUGACUGGCUACAACAUGAGUUAACUGUGGUGCAUUGUGGGAAACUCCCUGCGGAGGGCCUGUGCACUCCCCGGAUUAGUCGAGUCUCCCAGAGAUUCCAACCCCCGGUGCAAAUAAAAAAAUUAGGAUGAUAGUGUACAGCAAUUUCCAGUUUUUUCUGAAUUGGUGAAGUCUUAAAUUUCAUAUUGAUGCGUACAUCAGUCAAUAUUUUGGCAUUUGUCUCCCCCUUAUGUUGUCCUCCUGGUGUGAGAUAUGAAUUUCAAUUCCAAAUGUGAUUACUUGCUUAAAGUUUCCCUACAUAUUCUGAAGAAUAUACUAAUUGGCUUUGAGAUGUGAUUUUUCUAAUAGUAAGCAAUCUUCAAGGAUAUGUUAUUGUGAUAAAGGAUAUUAACCAGAUUGGAUGCAGAGCUUGUCGGCGUAUUAAACAGACAAAAAUAGCUCCAAAAAGAAAGAAAAAAGAAAUCUGUUAUGAAUUUAAUCUAGCAUUUAAGUUGGUAAUGAGAAUAAUUUAGAGCGAGCAAAGAUAAAAGAUUUUCGGAUUAAUUUGCUCAAAUAAAUUUGGUAAUAGCAUUCAAAAAUCAAACAAAGAUAAAAGAUUUUCGGAUUAAUUUGCUCAAAUAAAUUUGGUAAUAGCAAUCAAAAAUCAAACACAGAUUGGAAUAAUGGUUAAAGCAGUAACU